CACACGCGCGCUCGCCACGCUACUGCUGUCGCGGUUGUGUGCACUUCUUCUCAGUCACCUGUUUCCUAUUACCGGUCUGCAUCAUUUCCCACACUCCACGUGCGGCACCGUUUUCAUCGGCAGAGCUCAUUUGGCAUUAUACACAUGCACACGUCCCUAAUCAGCUUCGGUUACUGUUCUUAUUCUUUUGUUUUUUCGCUUCGGAUCUAAUCAUCCUACGCACCGUCGACGCCGAAAUGCAUGCUCGCUCUCUCCUGCGGCAGCAGACCUCAGCCGCGGCACUGCAGCCUCUCCGCUCCGUUGUGGCCAUUGGACUGCGUCAAGAAUUUGAUCCGCACUGGCCACUUCCGCUUCCGCCGCCGCUGCCGAUGAACAAGCAGAAGCACACGCUGGUGUUGGACAUUGAUGAGACACUCAUCCACACGUACGCCAUGGGCCUUCAUGACGACAGCAAGGACCGAACCCGCGACCCGGCGCUGCAGGGUGUCUCCCUCAUCGACUACAAUGUGCUGCUUCGCCCGCAUCUGAAGGAGUUCCUGGAAGAGGUGAACCAACUCUUCGAGGUGGUCUUUUGGACGGCAGGGACCGCCUCGUACUGUUGCGCCGUGCUUGACGCGCUCGAGCAGCAGGUGAUGCAGCUGCCGCGCUCCUUCUACAGCCAUGUGGAGCUAGCCAAGGAAAGUCAUAAGAUGAAAAGCAGCACAAGCCACACAAACUUCUACGCCCUCUCACGCACGCAGACGCUGGAGCAGCAAGGUUACAUGAAGUACCUUCCCAUGCUAGGGCGGAAGAUGAGCAGCGUCGUUAUGCUGGACGACAACGUGCGCAGCUUCCCACUCACCCCACGCAACGGCAUUCGCAUCGACGCCUUCGACCCUGACGACCGGGUGUUACAGCGCUACAUGUUCGCCCUGCGCCGAGUCCAGGAAGAGAAGCCGCACGAGAUGGAAGACGCCCUGGUGCAGUGCCUGCAGCAGGGACAGCAAGAGAUUGCUCGCCUGGAGAAGGAUCGUGCCUUGCUGGAUGUGCUGCCGGUGCUGCGCGCUGUGGCGCAGGUGCCCGCCGGCCAGGACGUGACAAAGGAGCUGGACCACUGGCGGGAUCUCGAUUACGUCCGCUGCGACGACUUUAUGGCAACCAUGAAUGUGCGCUCCGCGGUGCGGCAGCAGAUACUCGGCGUCACGCUGCCCGAGCGGCGCAGCACACCGAUUCCGGCGCAGAAGCUGAGUUUCAUGAACAGCGGUUUUUUGGAAUCAGCGAACGCAGAGAUGACGCUUCACCACACUCGUAGCGCGCGCCAUUCCAAACUGUAGUCGCUCGCGGAGCCGCCGUCCAGCGGAGCGGUGUGCCGAAUUUGAGGCCCGUGCCACGCUCUCCACGCGUUGCUCGACGUGCCCUCUCUGCAAUGUGGUGCACGCGCGCUGUUCUGAUGUAGGUUGUUGUUGCCGUGGUUUUCUCUCACAUGGCUUAGAUGAACUUAGUGCCCUCGCG
rnacentral:misc_RNA from 1 species